UACGUAGGGAGCAAGCGUUGUCCGGAAUCAUUGGGCGUAAAGCGCGCGUAGGCGGCCCGGUCAGUCCGUCGUGAAAGUCAAAGGCUCAACCUUUGAAUGUCGAUGGGUACUGCCGGGCUAGAGUCCGGAAGAGGCGAGUGGAACUCCUGGUGUAGCGGUGGAAUGCGCAGAUAUCAGGAAGAACACCAACGGCGAAGGCAGCUCGCUGGGACGGAACUGACGCUAAGGCGCGAAAGCGUGGGGAGCGAACAGG
rnacentral:rRNA from 1 species